rnacentral:rRNA from 1 species
AGAGUUUGAUCCUGGCUCAGGAUUAACGCUAGCGGCAGGCCUAAUACAUGCAAGUCGAACGGGAUUUCGGGUAGCAAUAUCUGAAUGAGAGUGGCGCACGGGUGCGUAACGCGUAUGCAAUCUACCUUUAACUGGGGAAUAGCCCUCCGAAAGGAGGAUUAACACCGCAUAAUACUAUGAUGGGGCAUCUCAAUGUAGUCAAAACUCAGGUGGUUAAAGAUGAGCAUGCGUCCGAUUAGCUAGUUGGUGAGGUAAUGGCUCACCAAGGCGACGAUCGGUAGGGGGUCUGAGAGGAUGAUCCCCCACACUGGUACUGAGACACGGACCAGACUCCUACGGGAGGCAGCAGUAAGGAAUAUUGGACAAUGGGCGCAAGCCUGAUCCAGCUAUGCCGCGUGAAGGAUGACGGCCCUAUGGGUUGUAAACUUCUUUUAGCAGGGAAAAAACCCCUCGAUGCGUUGAGGGCUGAUGGUACCUGCAGAAUAAGGAUCGGCUAACUCCGUGCCAGCAGCCGCGGUAAUACGGAGGAUCCAAGCGUUAUCCGGAUUUAUUGGGUUUAAAGGGUGCGUAGGCGAAUAAAUAAGUCAGUGGUGAAAGCCUGCAGCUUAACUGUAGAAUUGCCAUUGAUACUGUUUAUCUUGAAUGUAGUUGAGGUGGGCGGAAUAUGACAUGUAGUGGUGAAAUACUUAGAUAUGUCAUAGAACACCGAUUGCGAAGGCAGCUCACUAAGCUACGAUUGACGCUGAGGCACGAAAGCGUGGGGAGCAAACAGGAUUAGAUACCCUGGUAGUCC